GACCUCAGGAGGUCUAGGCAGAGCUUCAGCAGAGAAGCAGGAUCAAAUACAACUAGAGCAAAUUGACUCAGUCUUGGAAAUCAGUUUGAUAACCUGUUUUCCUGAGCCAUGCUGACUUGAGUGGACUUUGAAUGAAUCUGUGAGAGAAGUUGCACAGGCUUUUCCAACGAUACCACAGCCUUAAACAGAUGCAUUUCCUUCUUGUGAUGGCAAAAGACCCAGACCUGAAAAAGCUUCAAAUGGGAGAGAACAAAUCCCACAAAAACCAAA